rnacentral:rRNA from 1 species
CAGUCGCCGCGGUAAUACAGAGGGUGCAAGCGUUAAUCGGAAUUACUGGGCGUAAAGCGCGCGUAGGUGGUUUGUUAAGUUGGAUGUGAAAUCCCCGGGCUCAACCUGGGAACUGCAUCCAAAACUGGCAAGCUAGAGUAUGGUAGAGGGUGGUGGAAUUUCCUGUGUAGCGGUGAAAUGCGUAGAUAUAGGAAGGAACACCAGUGGCGAAGGCGACCACCUGGACUGAUACUGACACUGAGGUGCGAAAGCGUGGGGAGCAAACAGGAUUAGAUACCCCCGUAGUCCCUGUCUCUUAUAU